GAGAUGUGUGAUGACGCAUAUCAAAAGCGGAGGAAAAGAAACUAGCAAGGAUUCCCCUAGUAACGGCGAGUGAAGCGGGAAGAGCUCAAAUUUGAAAUCUUCAAGGGUUUCCCUUGACGAAUUGUAGUUUAAAGAAGUGUUUUCUGUUAGAGAGGUGGUAAAAGUUCUUUGGAAUAGGACAUCAUAGAGGGUGAGAAUCCCGUAUUUGAUCACUUUCUACUAACGUUGUGAUACACUUUCAAAGAGUCGGAUUGUUUGGGAAUGCAGUCCAAAAUGGGUGGUAAAUUUCAUCUAAAGCUAAAUAUUGGCGAGAGACCGAUAGCGAACAAGUACCGUGAGGGAAAGAUGAAAAGAACUUUGAAAAGAGAGUUAAACAGUACGUGAAAUUGUCAAAAGGGAAGCGUUUGACACCAGUGUUGUUUUUCCGAAAAUCAAUUACGAAUGUUUUGUUUUUGAGGAGUUAUGACUUCAUCGGCUUGCUUCCUUUCUUUACUGAAACUUUCUUAAUGCACUUUUCGGUUAACAAGUCAACAUCAAUUUCUUUUGUUGUAAAAGGGUACGAGGAAGGUGGCUUUCUUUUCGGAGAAAGUGUUUAUAGCCUUGUAGCCUCUGCAAUCGGAGAGAUUGAGGUCUGCAGCGUAGAUCCUUCGGGGUUAGAUACAGUUUGUGCUAAGUUAUAGCUUUUCAUAGACAACUUGUUGACUAUGUUAGUCUUGUAGCUUACUCGCUGAUGCUAUUUUACCUACGCUUAGGAUGUUGAACUCUAUCACACACAG
rnacentral:rRNA from 1 species